AGGCUUCACUACAAGAAGGAAUUCCAGCUAUGUACUGCUUUGUUUCUUUCAUUCUUCUAGGUAAAUCUGCUGGAAUACAAUGACUAAUGGAAAGGUUAUUUAGCAAGUGAAAGAUGCGCAGAAGACAAAUGUUGUACAAGGCACCGAAGGAUCAAAUGAAAAUAUUGUGCUUCCCAGAUCGUGAUAUGAUGGUAAACACUAGCAGUAACAACAAAGAACCCGAGGACAAGGACAUGGACAACACUAAUGAAAGUGAUAAAAGUGAAGGACAGAUCUCUCCGUCACUGGAUUCAAUAGUACAAUCAUUUCUCAUUUUCUUAUAUCCUUGACAAAUAUAUUUACUUGAUUAUGACCAUGAUCUUUCAAUGAAUAAAGGAACAGAUACACCUCUUCUGCCAAGGAACAUGAAGGGCCAUCUAAAAUUGCUACUGCAAGCAAAAAUGGUUCACAGGGCACUAGCAAGAAGCCAUAAAAAAGGGACAGAACUGAAGCCAACAAAUCAACUUCGGCAAAGUAAAAGAUGCACUUAUCAUAAAAAGAGCUUCGAUCAGCGUAUUUCAAAAGCAAAUAUAGAAAUGGCGAC